CUCUAGCUAAUAUAUUUAAUUCUACAGGAAACCAGAGAACAUUGAUGACAUGCAGUCUACAUUUCGUGCUAAAUUUGGGAUCGGAUAAAAUUCGUUGAUCGUGCGUGUUAUUUAGCCACCCUGGUAUAAGUCGACACCAAGUUCAAGGUACGUCUUCUGAUUUUUAACAACUGAUUAUGUGGUGGUUAUAGUGAGAAGAAAAUUGAAUCGGUAAACUCAACUUUAUCAAAGAAGUAACUGAAAAGUCCCCUCCCAUUUUCUGGUGGCUCCAGUCGGUUUUCAGUCACUCGGACCAUUUCGUACCUGCGAAAUGAAGUGCAUAGCUUUCAGGUAUUCAAGAGCGACGCCCCCUUUGAGUGGCCCAGACAAUCCCUUUGGGUUGCCUUGCCAACGAGGCUACAACGGAGAUUAUUUUUGCCAGAUCCAGAUAACACGAAGGUGCCGACCGUUGAGGGAAUUCCACGUCGAUGAUGUUGAAGAGCCGCAACUUGAAACGGUCAACCAAAUGAUCAAAGGU